rnacentral:lncRNA from 1 species
CCGAGAGCACAACAAGAGCAGAGCAGCAAGAAGAAGAAGAAGAAGAAGAAGAAGAUGGGGUCCGCGAGCCGCGCCGUCUCGUGCCUCUGCUGCCCCUGCAAGUGCCUGGCCUGCGGGCUCUUCAGCUGCCUGUGCAGCAUCCUCAUCUCCCUCCUCGUCUUCGCCGGCGUCCUCGUCCUCAUCCUCUACCUCAUCUUCCGCCCCCACAUGAUCGCCGCCACCGUCGACUCCGCCUCCCUCGCCACCUUCACCCUCUCGCCCACCUCCUCCCUCGCCUACAACCUCACCGUCGGCAUCACCGUCCGCAACCCCAACAAGCGGGUCGGCCUCUACUACGACAACGUCGAGGCCCUCGCGCUCUACAAGGACCAGCGCUUCGGAUACGCCCCGCUCGACUCCUUCUACCAGGGCACCGAGGCCUCCACCAAGCUCACCCCGGGCUUCCACGGCCAGCAGCCGCUCCAGGGGGACGUCACCGCCGCCGAGUUCAGGAAGGAGCAGACCGACGGGAACUUCGCCAUCAACGUCGGCCUCAACGCCAAGCUCAGGGUCAAGGUCUGGGCCUUCAAGGUCCCCGGACCCAAGGCUAAGAUCACCUGCAAGCUCUCCGUCCCGGCGCCGGGAGCCGCCAACGGAUCGCCGUUCCAGCCCACCGACUGCAAACUCUGGUAGAGGAUGUUGUUGGAUUAUUCUGCUGCUAGCUAGUAUGGAUUCUGUCUGUUCUUCGUCUUGGAUUAUUUGUUGGUGAGACUGGUGGGAGGAUUAUUUGUUGCUGUA